UACGGGGGGAGCAAGCGUUGUUCGGAUUUACUGGGCGUAAAGGGCGCGUAGGCGGCGCAACAAGUCACUUGUGAAAUCUCCGGGCUUAACCCGGAGCGGCCAAGUGAUACUGUCGUGCUAGAGUGCGGAAGGGGCUACUGGAAUUCUCGGUGUAGCGGUGAAAUGCGUAGAUACCGAGAGGAACACCUGCGGCGAAGGCGGGUAGCUGGGCCGACACUGACGCUGAGGCGCGAAAGCCAGGGGAGCGAACGGG
rnacentral:rRNA from 1 species